GAUGAAGAACGUAGUGAAAUGCGAUAAGUAAUGUGAAUUGCAGAAUUCAGUGAAUCAUCGAAUCUUUGAACGCACAUUGCGCCCGCCAGUAUUCUGGCGGGCAUGCCUGUUCGAGCGUCAUUUCAACCAUCAAGCCCCCGGCUUGUGUUGGGGACCUGCGGCUGCCGCAGGCCCUGAAAACCAGUGGCGGGCUCGCUAGUCACUCCGAGCGUAGUAAUACAUCUCGCUCAGGGCGUGCUGCGCGUUCCGGCCGUUAAAAAGCCUUAUUUACCCAAGGUUGACCUCGGAUCAGGUAGGAAGACCCGCUGAACUUAAGCAUAUCAAUAAGCGGAGGA
rnacentral:misc_RNA from 1 species